GAGCUAGUGUGUGAAUCCAGUAUCUGAACAGCGAAAGGAAGAUUAAAAAGGAGGGGACUCUUACACCGUUCUGGAUCACCAGCCCAGGAGCCACAGAAUGGGACUAGGGAAGUACAGAGGGGUGCAUGGCUGGGGAUGCCAAGGAGAACCGCUGCUGCCCUGAGGACCUGCACAAGCUUCUAGAGAGGCCUGCCACCCCGACGCUGAGGAGCUGCUACUGUUACCCUUGGCAGUGUAUCCCCGGGAGACUGAUGAUGACCCCUGGACACAGCAUGUCAUCAACAUCUGAUAAGAAAGAGAAGGGGGGAGGACAUGUUUACCAAGAUAAUGAAUGGCUCCGGGAUAGCUGACACAAAACUGAGAGCAUGGAGGAUUUCACUGUCUGAGAAAUUAGACAUGGACAUGGAGAGCAGAAAAGCUUCCCAUGAGCAUGCGGCUCAGGAUGAGAUGCUUCAGAUUCUGAGAGACCAAGCAGACACGUUGAGGUGUCUGGUUGAACUGCAGGAACAGAAGCAGGAGAGUCCCUCUGCAGACCCUGGUGGACAGCCAGCCAGCAUUGCUGGGCGUAGAAUAACUCUCCCCCCAAAGUAUUCCAUGAAGCGUGGGAGAAAAGUCCACUAUCCCUUUCACUUAACUCAGGGGGAGGGUACAGAAGGCACCCAUUCACAGACCUCUGAUGGUCAAGAAUGCAGUGUUAUGUUACACAGUUGAAAAUGUUUAUCCCCUUCCCAGUUUACAACCCCUUUUCCCCAAGGCUAACUUUUUUUUCUGU